rnacentral:rRNA from 1 species
CAGCAGCCGCGGUAACACGUAGGGUGCGAGCGUUGUCCGGAAUUAUUGGGCGUAAAGAGCUCGUAGGCGGUGUGUCGCGUCGGCCGUGAAAACUUUCAGCUUAACUGGGAGCGUGCGGUCGAUACGGGCAUCACUUGAGUUCGGCAGGGGAGACUGGAAUUCCUGGUGUAGCGGUGAAAUGCGCAGAUAUCAGGAGGAACACCGGUGGCGAAGGCGGGUCUCUGGGCCGAUACUGACGCUGAGGAGCGAAAGCGUGGGGAGCGAACAGGAUUAGAUACCCUGGUAGUCCACGCUGUAAACGUUGGGCGCUAGGUGUGGGGGCCAUUCCACGGUCUCUGUGCCGCAGCUAACGCAUUAAGCGCCCCGCCUGGGGAGUACGGCCGCAAGGCUAAAACUCAAAGGAAUUGACGG